rnacentral:rRNA from 1 species
UACGAAGGGUGCUAGCGUUGUUCGGAAUUACUGGGCGUAACGGGCGCGUAGGCGGCUUGGCAAGUUGGAUGUGAAAGCCCAGGGCUCAACCCUGGAAUUGCAUUCAAGACUGCCUUGCUUGAAUUCGGUAGAGGUUGGUGGAAUUCCCAGUGUAGAGGUGAAAGUCGUAGAGAUGGGGAAGAACAGCCGUGGCGAAGGCGGCCAACUGGACCGACAUUGACGCUGAGGCGCGAAAGCGUGGGGAUCAAACAGG